rnacentral:rRNA from 1 species
GGGUGAGUAAUGCCUAGGAAUCUGCCUGGUAGUGGGGGACAACGUUUCGAAAGGAACGCUAAUACCGCAUACGUCCUACGGGAGAAAGCAGGGACCUUCGGGCCUUGCGCUAUCAGAUGAGCCUAGGUCGGAUUAGCUAGUUGGUGAGGUAAUGGCUCACCAAGGCGACGAUCCGUAACUGGUCUGAGAGGAUGAUCAGUCACACUGGAACUGAGACACGGUCCAG